CUUUCGAAUGGAACAUUUGGUAAAGUCCCAUUUUAAACAAACACAUGGCUCUUUUUUAAGGCCUUAAUAAAACAUACACGUUCAGAAUAUGUUGUAUCAUUGCACAUUUCACUUUCUUUCACUUCCACAUGCUCGAUAACAAAUCCUGCAUUUCUCACAGUGUCUUCUAUAGACAUUUUAUCAGUUGUUAAAAAGUGAAAUUUACUCUCACCUACGGUGUAAUAUUUUGCCUUAACUAAUCCAAAUAGCAGUAGAUGCCCACCCAAUUUUAGCAUGCAUGACACUUUUUUCAGGUUCCUGCAGUAUUCGUCUAGAUCUUUAGAAACUGCAUGGAAAAUGACCACACUGACCACGCAGUCUGCUUUUGGUAGAAUUACUGGAUCUGUAAUGUUUUCCUUGGUGAAAUCACAUUUUAAAAUGUGUGAG